rnacentral:rRNA from 1 species
AACGAACGCUGGCGGCAUGCCUAACACAUGCAAGUCGAACGAGACCUUCGGGUCUAGUGGCGCACGGGUGCGUAACGCGUGGGAACCUGCCCUUAGGUUCGGAAGAACUCCCCGAAAGGGGUGCUAAUACCGGAUAAUGUCUUCGGACCAAAGAUUUAUCGCCUUUGGAUGGGCCCGCGUUGGAUUAGCUAGUUGGUAGGGUAAAAGCCUACCAAGGCGACGAUCCAUAGCUGGUCUGAGAGGAUGAUCAGCCACACUGGGACUGAGACACGGCCCAGACUCCUACGGGAGGCAGCAGUGGGGAAUAUUGGACAAUGGGCGAAAGCCUGAUCCAGCAAUGCCGCGUGAGUGAUGAAGGCCUUAGGGUUGUAAAGCUCUUUUACCCGGGAUGAUAAUGACAGUACCGGGAGAAUAAGCUCCGGCUAACUCCGUG